GACGAACGCUGGCGGCGCGCCUAACACAUGCAAGUCGAACGGAGCUGAGAGAAGCUUGCUUUUCUUAGCUUAGUGGCGAACGGGUGAGUAACGCGUGAGUAACCUGCCCUGGAGUGGGGGACAACAGUUGGAAACGACUGCUAAUACCGCAUAAGCCCACGAUCCGGCAUCGGAUUGAGGGAAAAGGAUUUAUUCGCUUCAGGAUGGACUCGCGUCCAAUUAGCUAGUUGGUGAGGUAACGGCCCACCAAGGCGACGAUUGGUAGCCGGACUGUGAGGUUGAACGGCCACAUUGGGACUGAGACACGGCCCAGACUCCUACGGGAGGCAGCAGUGGGGGAUAUUGCACAAUGGGGGAAACCCUGAUGCAGCGACGCCGCGUGGAGGAAGAAGGUUUUCGGAUUGUAAACUCCUGUCGUUAGGGACGAUAAUGACGGUACCUAACAAGAAAGCACCGGCUAACUACGUG
rnacentral:rRNA from 1 species